rnacentral:rRNA from 1 species
ACGAAGGGUGCAAGCGUUACUCGGAAUUACUGGGCGUAAAGGGUGCGUAGGUGGUUUUUUAAGUCUGCCGUGAAAUCCCCGGGCUCAACCUGGGAAUGGCAGUGGAUACUGGAAAGCUGGAGUGCGGUAGAGGGUAGUGGAAUUCCCGGUGUAGCAGUGAAAUGCGUAGAGAUCGGGAGGAACAUCAGUGGCGAAGGCGGCCAUCUGGGACAACACUGACGCUGAAGCACGAAAGCGUGGGGAGCAAACAGGA